CUCUCAAAAUUCUCUUGGAUCUACAACUCUCUCUUCUCUCUCUUUCGGUUCAAGCAAAGAGAAGAACCCUCUUCUUCUUGUUUGGAGUCUUGCGGAGGGUGGUGUGAAACACAAGAAAGAAUUCUUUCCCUUUGAUUGCAUCAAAAGAAACGAAGAUCCUUUCCUACUUCCCUCACUCGGCCAACACUAGGAGAAGUUCUCUCCAUUUCUCUCGGGUGCCUUGCAACAAAAAGGAAAGAAGGAUCUCAUCUCUCUCAGGUUUUGAGUAAGUGAACGUAUGUUCGUAAAUACUUUCUGAAGAAAGAACAGUUAUGAGGAGGAGGAGUAUCAAGAUUAUCCAGACUCUUAGGUGAUCUUGAUGGCAGUGUCUAAGGCUAGACCACUCACAUUUUGUGCACUACUGUGUUUAGUCUAUUAUCAUAAUAUUCGGAGAACAAUAUUUAUAUAU